rnacentral:rRNA from 1 species
AGAGUUUGAUCAUGGCUCAGAUUGAACGCUGGCGGAAUGCUUUACACAUGCAAGUCGAGCGGCAGCGCGGGGGCAACCCUGGCGGCGAGCGGCGAACGGGUGAGUAAUACAUCGGAACAUGUCCAGUUGUGGGGGAUAGCCCGGCGAAAGCCGGAUUAAUACCGCAUGAGCUCGAGAGAGGAAAGCGGGGGACCGUAAGGCCUCGCGCGACUGGGUUGGCCGAUGUCCGAUUAGCUAGUUGGUGGGGUAAAGGCCUACCAAGGCGAUGAUCGGUAGCUGGUCUGAGAGGAUGAUCAGCCACACUGGGACUGAGACACGGCCCAGACUCCUACGGGAGGCAGCAGUGGGGAAUUUUGGACAAUGGGGGAAACCCUGAUCCAGCCAUUCCGCGUGAGUGAAGAAGGCCUUCGGGUUGUAAAGCUCUUUUGUCCGGAGCGAAACGGUUACGGUGAAUAUCCGUGACUACUGACGGUACCGGAAGAAUAAGCACCGGCUAACUACGUGCCAGCAGCCGCGGUAAUACGUAGGGUGCGAGCGUUAAUCGGAAUUACUGGGCGUAAAGCGUGCGCAGGCGGGCUUUUAAGCCAGACGUGAAAUCCCCGGGCUUAACCUGGGAAUGGCGUUUGGGACUGGAAGUCUGGAGUGCGGCAGAGGAGACUGGAAUUCCUGGUAGCAGUGAAAUGCGUAGAUAUCAGGAGGAACACCGAUGGCGAAGGCAGGUCUCUGGGCUGACACUGACGCUCAUGCACGAAAGCGUGGGGAGCAAACAGGAUUAGAUACCCUAGUAGUCC